rfam:Camelus ferus unplaced genomic scaffold scaffold294, whole genome shotgun sequence.
GGACGGUACAGCUCCGUGGUAGAGUGUGUGCUUAGCGUGCACAAGGUCCUGGGUUCAAUCCCCAGUCCCUCCA